AGUGAACGCUGGCGGUAGGCCUAACACAUGCAAGUCGAACGGCAGCACAGUAAGAGCUUGCUCUUACGGGUGGCGAGUGGCGGACGGGUGAGGAAUACAUCGGAAUCUACUUUUUCGUGGGGGAUAACGUAGGGAAACUUACGCUAAUACCGCAUACGACCUACGGGUGAAAGCAGGGGAUCUUCGGACCUUGCGCGAUGAAUGAGCCGAUGUCGGAUUAGCUAGUUGGCGGGGUAAAGGCCCACCAAGGCGACGAUCCGUAGCUGGUCUGAGAGGAUGAUCAGCCACACUGGAACUGAGACACGGUCCAGACUCCUACGGGAGGCAGCAGUGGGGAAUAUUGGACAAUGGGCGCAAGCCUAAUCCAGCCAUACCGCGUGGGUGAAGAAGGCCUUCGGGUUGUAAAGCCCUUUUGUUGGGAAAGAAAAGCAGCAGGUUAAUACCCCGCUGUUCUGACGGUACCCAAAGAAUAAGCACCGGCUAACUUCGUG
rnacentral:rRNA from 1 species